UACGUAGGGUGCAAGCGUUGUUCGGAAUUACUGGGCGUAAAGCGUACGUAGGCGGCUUUGUAAGUUAGAGGUGAAAGCCCGGGGCUCAACUCCGGAAUUGCCUUUAAGACUGCAUCGCUUGAAUCAUGGAGAGGUUAGUGGAAUUCCGAGUGUAGAGGUGAAAUUCGUAGAUAUUCGGAAGAACACCAGUGGCGAAGGCGACUAACUGGACAUGUAUUGACGCUGAGGUACGAAAGCGUGGGGAGCAAACAGG
rnacentral:rRNA from 1 species